ensembl:lncRNA
GCGGGGUCUCAGGUAAACCUCACAUCUCUGCUGCUCACAAUCCUCUCGAUCACAUUUCAUAGGCUUAUCCCGGUAGGUGGGGGCACUCCUGAGAGAGAGGGGGUCUGACGGGGCCAAAUGGACACCAUCUGGAUACAGAGAGUGGUUGUGAUCAGUCAGGCACGGACACGCUCAAUGGCAGCAUUCACUCUCAAACUCUCAAACUGAGAGGCCAUGGGCCAGAACUAAAAUAGCUAAACCUCUAGAGACCUAUAACAGUAGACUUUCACUGUGUGAUGAAUUUUUUUUGUUGUUGUUGUCAAAUGUUCCUACACUCCAAAACAGAAAGAUGAAUGUUCGGAAGCAUUUCAAGCCUUUCAACGGCACAUACUCGUAUGCACUAUGCAGUAAUGAGAAUAAUUUUUAUUAUUUAAAUCAUGUAGAUUUUCAGUAACAUGUCUAUUUUUGUUUAAAUAUAACGUUAGAAACAAAGACGUGUGUACUGUACAGUCGGUCGUCUGUUUACAAUCAAAACAAGUUUGAUUCGGAAAAAUGACUCCUUUGAAUCGGUUCUUUUCAGUGAAUCGGUUGAACCAGUCAAAAUGUUCUUAGCUCCAAGGGAUGAGUUUGAAUUCGUAUCGGAUCUUUUCCAGUGGAAAUGACUCACUCUAAGUUUAGCUGCCUACAAUAACCGUAUAUCCAGAAAGUCUAAUUGCAAAUAAUUCAUUGUUACUUAAUACUAAAUUAAAUUACUCUCUGGAAAACUCUCGUAUCAAACCACGGACUUGCGCUCUCUUGUUUAAGACAAACGCAAAUGAGUCUCAAGGAGGGACACUGUAUUCAGCGUGGUGACUGACAGCAGAGGUGAAGGAAGCCUGCAGUGAAUAACAGAGAAGGAAAAUGAACACCCACACAUGAUGGGUCCUCAGGACAUCAGACAGCUGCUAUUAUGUCUGGAGGAUGAAAUAUUAAAGAAGAGCAGAAAAAGAGAUCAAGGCUGUGUAUGGAGAUGGUGCCGCCUCCGCAGUGCAUUGACAUGCAAACCAGAUCCCACUAGAGACAUGGAGAGAAGUAUCAAACCGAGGACUGACUGAUGAAUGACUAAGGUUUGCUUAAAGGUUACCAUCUCUUCUUUUCGCUCUUUUUAUCGCUCUUUCUCUCUUCUGUCAUUCUCAUUCCCUCCUCCUGAUUAAUUCAUCUUGAUUAUAUGCCAUGAAAUUAUUUGGCGCAUGACACACACAUAUAACUCUGCUCUACUGAUGUAAUAUGAAGCAUGUCCACUCACAUCAGUUCAGCGCUCAUUGACAGUUCUUUCCUAGUAUUUAGUAUCUAUUUUUAAAAUGCACUCGGACUAGCAUUAGUAUUGAUUGAGUCAUACUCUCAAGUAAUACAUGUAUUUACAAAAUGCUGAGUUAAUCUUAUCCAUUAGAUGUGGCCAGUUAAUAUAAAAUUAUGUAAUCACAUCAUUAUUUUUUUAAUGCUAUAACAAAGCUUGAUUGUAAGAAUUUUCAUGGGCCAGAGAGAUUGUGUCAUUCAUUGUGCUUUGGUUUACUGUAACAAAUCUAUCUAUCAGAAUCAGCAUUGGUCGCACGUCUAUUCAUUUCAACUGACCUUUUUAGAUGUUAUGAAUGCUUUAAGCUUAAAUUUUAUCACGAAAGUAUACAUAUAAGUAUACAUUAUUUAGCUGAUUGACAUUGCUAGACAGGGUUCUGUCGAAAUGGAAACAACUUAGUUUGUAAACAUCAGUUUGAAUGGAUUGAAAAAAGAAACAAAUCAAUACUGCUUUAUACCACAAGCCGUUGGUUUGCAGCAAAAGCUGAAAAGUUAGGAGCAUUUUUCUCAAAUAUUUUCCAGCAAAUUGCCCAUUUUGUGUAAUUUAUAUUUUUAUACAAUUUUAGCCUUUUGUCAUAUCCACCU